rnacentral:rRNA from 1 species
AUUGAACGCUAGCGGCAGGCCUAACACAUGCAAGUCGAGCGGAUGAAGGGAGCUUGCUCCUGGAUUCAGCGGCGGACGGGUGAGUAAUGCCUAGGAAUCUGCCUGGUAGUGGGGGAUAACGUCCGGAAGCGGGCGCUAAUACCGCAUACGUCCUGAGGGAGAAAGUGGGGGAUCUUCGGACCUCACGCUAUCAGAUGAGCCUAGGUCGGAUUAGCUAGUUGGUGGGGUAAAGGCCUACCAAGGCGACGAUCCGUAACUGGUCUGAGAGGAUGAUCAGUCACACUGGAACUGAGACACGGUCCAGACUCCUACGGGAGGCAGCAGUGGGGAAUAUUGGACAAUGGGCGAAAGCCUGAUCCAGCCAUGCCGCGUGUGUGAAGAAGGUCUUCGGAUUGUAAAGCACUUUAAGUUGGGAGGAAGGGCAGUAAGUUAAUACCUUGCUGUUUUGACGUUACCAACAGAAUAAGCACCGGCUAACUUCGUG